rnacentral:rRNA from 1 species
GACGAACGCUGGCGGCGUGCCUAAUACAUGCAAGUCGAACGCUGAAGGAGGAGCUUGCUUCUCUGGAUGAGUUGCGAACGGGUGAGUAGCGCGUAGGUAACCUGCCUGGUAGCGGGGGAUAACUAUUGGAAACGAUAGCUAAUACCGCAUAAUAGUAGAUGUUGCAUGACAUUUGCUUAAAAGGUGCAAUUGCAUCACUACCAGAUGGACCUGCGUUGUAUUAGCUAGUUGGUGGGGUAACGGCUCACCAAGGCGACGAUACAUAGCCGACCUGAGAGGGUGAUCGGCCACACUGGGACUGAGACACGGCCCAGACUCCUACGGGAGGCAGCAGUAGGGAAUCUUCGGCAAUGGACGGAAGUCUGACCGAGCAACGCCGCGUGAGUGAAGAAGGGUUUCGGAUCGUAAAGCUCUGUUGUAAGAGAAGAACGAGUGUGAGAGUGGAAAGUUCACACUGUGACGGUAUCUUACCAGAAAGGGACGGCUAACUACGUG